rnacentral:lncRNA from 1 species
UCUCAUUGCUUCCAACUUUUUCUCAUCCAUUACUUCACUUGAAUCUGAAACAAAUUCUGGAACCACGGUAUUUCCUUCAAGCAUACUUACCACGGACGACAUCGAUGGCCUAAGGUUUGAAGUGAGGUUGGUGCAUAGGAGAGCAACAUUGAUCAUCACCAUAGCUUCCUUUUUGUUGAAAUCUAAACCUAAUCUUCUAUCAACUAGUUCCAUUAGGUCACCUCUCUCUUUCAACAAAUGUGCCUUUACCCAAUCAAGAAGAUAGAAUGCUUCCUCCUUUGACCGAUACAUGGUGUUGCUCUUUCCACUAACGAUUUCCAAAGCAACAAUUCCAAAACUAUAAACAUCUGCUUUAUCCGUCAAAUAACCAUGCAUUGCAUAUUCAGGAGCCAUA